CUUUGCUUCCUGCUCCCCUAG
rnacentral:miRNA from 1 species